rnacentral:pre_miRNA from 1 species
AUAACAUUCAGAUCGUCGGUCUACCGAGAAAUCUCACCAGCUCGGUGGACUAGCUUCUCUUUGUCGA